AACGAACGCUGGCGGCAUGCCUAACACAUGCAAGUCGAACGAGACCUUCGGGUCUAGUGGCGCACGGGUGCGUAACGCGUGGGAACCUGCCCUUAGGUUCGGAAUAACUCCCCGAAAGGGGUGCUAAUACCGGCUAAUGUCUUCGGACCAAAGAUUUAUCGCCUUUGGAUGGGCCCGCGUUGGAUUAGCUAGUUGGUAGGGUAAAAGCCUACCAAGGCGACGAUCCAUAGCUGGUCUGAGAGGAUGAGCAGCCACACUGGGACUGAGACACGGCCCAGACUCUUGCGGGAGGAAGCAGUGGGGAAUAUUGGACAAUGGGCGAAAGGCUGAUCCAGCAAGGCCGGGUGAGUGAUGAAGGCCUUAGGGUUGGAAAGCUAUUUUACCCGGGAUGAUAAUGACAGUACCGGGAGAAUAAGCUCCGGCUAACUCCGUG
rnacentral:rRNA from 1 species